UACAGAGGGUGCAAGCGUUGUCCGGAAUUACUGGGCGUAAAGAGCUCGUAGGUGGUUUGUCGCGUUGUUCGUGAAAACUCACAGCUCAACUGUGGGCGUGCGGGCGAUACGGGCAGACUUGAGUACUGCAGGGGAGACUGGAAUUCCUGGUGUAGCGGUGGAAUGCGCAGAUAUCGGGAGGAACACCAGUGGCGAAGGCGGCUUUCUGGCCUAUUCUUGACGCUGAGGCGCGAAAGCUAGGGGAGCGAACGGG
rnacentral:rRNA from 1 species